AUUGAACGCUGGCGGCAUGCCUUACACAUGCAAGUCGAACGGUAACAGGUCUUCGGAUGCUGACGAGUGGCGAACGGGUGAGUAAUACAUCGGAACGUGCCCGAUCGUGGGGGAUAACGAAGCGAAAGCUUUGCUAAUACCGCAUACGAUCUACGGAUGAAAGCAGGGGACCGCAAGGCCUUGCGCGAACGGAGCGGCCGAUGGCAGAUUAGGUAGUUGGUGGGAUAAAAGCUUACCAAGCCGACGAUCUGUAGCUGGUCUGAGAGGACGACCAGCCACACUGGGACUGAGACACGGCCCAGACUCCCACGGGAGGCAGCAGUGGGGAAUUUUGGACAAUGGGCGAAAGCCUGAUCCAGCCAUGCCGCGUGCAGGAUGAAGGCCUUCGGGUUGUAAACUGCUUUUGUACGGAACGAAAAGACUCUGGUUAAUACCUGGGGUCCAUGACGGUACCGUAAGAAUAAGCACCGGCUAACUACGUG
rnacentral:rRNA from 1 species